AGAGUUUGAUCAUGGCUCAGGAUGAACGCUAGCGGCAGGCUUAAUACAUGCAAGUCGAACGGCAGCACGUGUAGCAAUACAUGGUGGCGAGUGGCGCACGGGUGCGUAACACGUAUGUAACCUACCUCUAACAGUGGCAUAACAAUGAGAAAUUAUUGCUAAUUCCGCAUGUGGUUAAUUUGAGGCAUCUUAGAUUAACUAAAGAUUUAUCGGUUAGAGCUGGGCAUGCGUCCCAUUAGCUAGUUGGUGAGGUAACGGCUCACCAAGGCAUCGAUGGGUAGGGGCUCUGAGAGGAUUGUCCCCCACACUGGUACUGAGACACGGACCAGACUCCUACGGGAGGCAGCAGUAAGGAAUAUUGGGCAAUGGACGCAAGUCUGACCCAGCCAUGCCGCGUGAAGGAAGACGGCCCUAUGGGUUGUAAACUUCUUUUCUCAGGUUGUAAACUCCGGAACGUGUUCCGGACUGAAAGUACCUGAGGAAUAAGCAUCGGCUAACUCCGUGCCAGCAGCCGCGGUAAUACGGAGGAUGCGAGCGUUAUCCGGAUUCAUUGGGUUUAAAGGGUGCGCAGGCGGAUAUAUAAGUCGGAGGUGAAAUUCUGAUGCUCAACCAUCAGCCGUGCCUUCGAUACUGUAUAUCUAGAGUCAAGUUGGAGUAGGCGGAAUGUGUUGUGUAGCGGUGAAAUGCUUAGAUAUAACACAGAACACCGAUCGCGAAGGCAGCUUACUAAACUUUGACUGACGCUCAUGCACGAAAGCGUGGGGAUCAAACAGGGAUUAGAUACCCUGGUAGUCCACGCUGUAAACGAUGAUUACUCGCUGUUGGCGAUACACAGUCAGUGGCUAAGCGAAAGUGAUAAGUAAUCCACCUGGGGAGUACGACGGCAACGUUGAAACUCAAAAGAAUUGACGGGGGCCGCACAAGCGGAGGAGCAUGUGGUUUAAUUCGAUGAUACGCGAGGAACCUUACCAGGGCUAGAACGCAAGUUGAUUAUGUGCGAAAGUAUAUAUCUCUUCGGAGCAAUUUGCGAGGUGCUGCAUGGUUGUCGUCAGCUCGUGCCGUGAGGUGUCAGGUUAAGUCCUAUAACGAGCGCAACCCCUACUCUUAGUUGCCAGCAUGUAAUGAUGGGGACUCUAAGAGAACUGCCUACGCAAGUAGAGAGGAAGGUGGGGAUGACGUCAAAUCAGCACGGCCCUUAUGUCCUGGGCUACACACGUGCUACAAUGGUCGGUACAGAGGGCAGCUACCUGGUGACAGGAUGCUAAUCUCAAAAGCCGGUCUCAGUUCGGAUCGGAGUCUGCAACUCGACUCCGUGAAGUUGGAUUCGCUAGUAAUCGCGCAUCAGCCAUGGCGCGGUGAAUACGUUCCCGGGCCUUGUACACACCGCCCGUCAAGCCAUGGAAGCUGGGGGUACCUAAAGUCCGUAACCGUAAGGAGCGGCCUAGGGUAAAACUAGUGACUGGGGCUAAGUCGUAACAAGGUAGCCGUACCGGAAGGUGCGGCUGGAUCACCUCCUU
rnacentral:rRNA from 1 species